rnacentral:rRNA from 1 species
GACGAACCGUGCGAACGUUAUUCGGAAUCACUGGGCUUAAAGCGCGUGUAGGCGGGACGGCACGUCGGUCGCUGAAAUCCCCCGGCUCAACCGGGGAACGGGCGCCGAUACGACCGCCCUGGAGGGACGUAGGGGGACCUGGAACUUCCGGUGGAGCGGUGAAAUGCGUUGAGAUCGGAAGGAACGCCCGUGGCGAAAGCGAGGUCCUGGACGUUUACUGACGCUGAGACGCGAAAGCGUGGGGAGCGAACAGG